rnacentral:rRNA from 1 species
UACAGAGGGGGCAAGCGUUGUCCGGAAUUACUGGGCGUAAAGCGUCCGCAGGUGGCCAAGGAAGUGUUGUGUGAAAGCCCCGCGCUUAACGCGGGGAGGCCACGACAGACUCCUUAGCUCGAGGGAUGUAGAGGGUCGUGGAAUUGCCGGUGUAGUGGUGAAAUGCGUAGAGAUCGGCAGGAACACCAAGGACGAAGGUAGCGACCUGGGCAUACCCUGACACUCAUGGACGACAGCGUGGGGAGCGAACCGG